CAAUGAGUAAAUAAUUUUUUUUAUUUUGGUGGAACUAAGAAACUUGCCGACCCCAAUUAAUUUGGGAUUAAGACUUAAUUUUUGUUGUUAUGGAACUAAGAAACUUGUCAUGGUGGACAGAAUAUAAGAUGACUGGAGCCACAAACUAAGUAAAACUUAUGACAAAAUAUUGUCAAACUAAAACUCAGUAUCAACAUAGACUAGCUAUGCCAAUGUGUAGAAGCACAAAUCAAGGCUUAGUUUUAAAUUUCUCUAAUUAUCACCCUUUUUAUCUUCUCAAAAUGAUGCAUCAAAUCUAGGAUAUUUAAUGCAGUCCAAGAAGACUUAGUUUAGAAUUUAAAAAAAAAAAAAUUAGUGUAGCAAUUAUGUUAAUUUAAUGGUUCAUUGUAAAAUUAGGAAUUUUAUAUUAUUAUUACCUAGGAAAUUUAAUUAGGAAGUAGUGUUUUAAUUAUUUAGGAAUUCUAUUAUUUAGAAUUUCCUAGUUAGAGUUGAUUUUGUAUUUGUAGUUAGAUUGCUUUAACAUUUUCUUACUUUGAGAUUCCAUAUUCUAACAAUAGUAGGAAUAGUUACUAUACUAUAAAUACCUA
rnacentral:misc_RNA from 1 species